CAUUUUUCUAACCAAAAACCCCCGAAAUUCCUAACCCUUCCUCAUAUUCUUCACAUUGGCCGACUCAUAAUACUCCUCCACCACCGUCGCGGUUUCAGCCAGACCCACAAGGAUCUGUCAACCUUCAGACCGGAGGAGCCAACGUCAACUAAAUCGACACCAAAAAAGUAAAUAAACUCCCUUUUUUAGAUUCCUCAAGUAGAUUCAAAAUAAAGUAAAAAAAAAGAGAAUAAGAACAGAGAAAAAAAAUGCGAAUCACCUUUGGUAAACUGUUUUUGAAUUGAUUUCUUUUUUUUUUUCCGUCCCCCUUUAAUACAAUUGAAAAGAUGGCUUUAUAGCCGAAAAAUAGAAACAAUACAACAUUUUUUGUCUCUUUUUCUUCUUCUGCUAUUGUGCUCUGCUGCUAUUUUUUCAUGUUUCGUAGGUACAAGGCCAGCUAAGGCGUACGGAGGAAGCGACGUGGCUUGUGGUGGUGCGUGAAGGCCGUACAGAGGCGCGCUGGAGGCUGUUAAUGAUAUUUAGAUUUUUACUUAUUUUUGUUUUUUUUUAUUUUGGGUUUAUAGGCCCUGGCUAAAUUAGGCCUCUACACUUUAUUUUAAAUAGUUUUAUACAUUAUUUAUUUUAGAUUUUUUUUACAUAUUAGUUCUCUUAAACUAUUUUAUGUAUCAUUUAUUUAAAAUUGAUUUAUAGGAUUCAUUUCAAAUUGUUUUAUUGUAUAUUAU
rnacentral:lncRNA from 1 species